rfam:Candidatus Kaiserbacteria bacterium RIFCSPHIGHO2_01_FTLL_48_10 rifcsphigho2_01_scaffold_51356, whole genome shotgun sequence.
GCAGACAUAGUAUAGUGGUAGUACAUAACCUUCCCAAGGUUAGAGUGUGGGUUCGAUUCCCAUUGUCUGCU